UGCAACCUACCUAUCACAGGGAAUAGCCUUUGGAAACAGGGAUUAAUACCGGCAUAAAGCAGGGACACCGCAUGGUGAUAUUGCUAAAGNUUUAUCGGUGAUAGAUGGGCAUGCGUCCGAUUAGCUAGUUGGAGAGGUAACGGCUCACCAAGGCUACGAUCGGUAGGGGAUCUGAGAGGAUGACCCCCCACACUGGUACUGAGACACGGACCAGACUCCUACGGGAGGCAGCAGUAAGGAAUAUUGGUCAAUGGACGCAAGUCUGAACCAGCCAUGCCGCGUGCAGGAAGACGGCCCUAUGGGUUGUAAACUGCUUUUGUCGGGGAAGAAACCCAUCUACGUGUAGAUGGCUGACGGUACUCGAAGAAUAAGGAUCGGCUAACUCCGUG
rnacentral:rRNA from 1 species